GUCAUAUGCUAGCGAAUGUGUUUGGAGGAAGGAGUCGACCACGAUCGUCAAGGAAAAUGCGCGCUUCAUUCAGGUGAUAAAAUUCGGUCGUGGGCGCGGGAACAUCAGGACGGCUACAACAAGCGGACAGGAAGGAACCCAUACGUCAAUACACCUGUCCUCAGUACGGAGUUCUUCACGUCAGAUUGUGCCAACGUUAACAUCAUGGAUUAUCGGACGGAGCCAACUCUACAUAAACAUUUACAUGACUUUUCAAC
ensembl:lncRNA